rnacentral:misc_RNA from 1 species
AACACCUCAACCUCUCUUUUUGACAAAAAAAAGGAGGGUGGACUUGAGCUAUUCCAACGACCUUCACCGGUAGGCGGGCGGCUUGAAAUGCAGGUGCAGCUGGACUUUUAUCUGAGCUAAAAGCAUAUCUAUUUAGUCCUCGUCAAACAGGAUUAUUACUUUUGCUGCAGCUAACAUAAAGGAUAAUUGUCCUCUUUGCUGACUGAUGCAGGAUUUUACGACGCUUUAUGUGUUGUUCA